UCCUUCUUGGCCUUAGGCGUUCUUCGAGUCAUCCCCAUCUUUGCAUCUCUGCAUCCCUCAUACCAGCCUAGGUUAGCUCCAGAACUUUCUUUAUUUUCGCGGCUCUGUUUAUAGACUGUGUUGAUCCUCCUUCGUUGCAGAUAUGGAUGCGGAUGCGGAUCGGAUGUUAGCCAAGAAUCUCAAAGCCCACAAGAGGGAAGGCGCUGCAACUUUUGGGUCGGCGAAGAAGGCGAGGGUAGAAGAGACAGAUCCGGUCGUGUUUUGCCUUGAUCGCCCAGAGCCCAUGCUUGUGGCACAUCUUCGACCGUGAGUGCUUUCCAGUCCUACGGAAGGGGCAAGCCGAAAGGGGACUGGAAGAAGAAGUCAGAAAAGAGGGGAAACCUAAUCUCAGAAAGAAGGUCAUGCCCACC
rnacentral:lncRNA from 1 species